rnacentral:tRNA from 1 species
GGCUUCGUAGCUCAGCUAGUAGAGCGAUUGUCACACUGAAGCAUGCUGUGUCUGUCGCUGGUUCGAAUCCAGCCGAAGCUC